AUCAGUAUGACAUAGUGGUUUGAGAGCUGGACUAUGAAUCUGGGGACCAGGGUUCAAUUCCCUGCUCAAACA